rnacentral:rRNA from 1 species
AACGAACGCUGGCGGCAUGCCUAACACAUGCAAGUCGAACGAGAACUUCGGGGCUAGUUUCGCAGGGGUGCGUAACGCGGGGGAACCAGCGCUUAGGUUAGGUAUAACUUCCCGAAAGGGGUGCUAAUAACGGGUAAUGUCUUACGACCAAAGAUCUAUCGCCUUUGGAUGGGCCUGCGUUGGAUUCGCUUGUUGGUAGGGUAAAAGCCUAUCAAGGCUACGAUCCAUAGCUGGUCUGAGAGGAUGAUCAGCCACACUGGGACUGAGACACGGCCCAGACUCCUACGAGAGGCAGCAGUGGGGACUAUUGGACAAUGGGCGAAAGCCUGAUCCAGCAAUGCCGCGUGAGUGAUGAAGGCCUUAGGAUUGUAAAGCUCUUUUACCCGGUAUGAUAAUGACAGUACCGUGAGAAUAAGCGCCGGCUAACUCCGUG